rnacentral:misc_RNA from 1 species
GAUGAAGAACGUAGUGAAAUGCGAUAAGUAAUGCGAAUUGCAGAAUUUCCGUGAGUCAUCGAAUCUUUGAACGCACAUUGCGCCCGUCAGUAUUCUGGCGGGCAUGCCUGUUCGAGCGUCAUUACGCCCCUCAAGUCCCCUGUGGACUUGGUGUUGGGGAUCGGCGAGGCUGGUUUUCCAGCACAGCCGUCCCUUAAAUUAAUUGGCGGUCUCGCCGUGGCCCUCCUCUGCGCAGUAGUAAAACACUCGCAACAGGAGCCCGGCGCGGUCCACUGCCGUAAAACCCCCCAACUUUUUAUAGUUGACCUCGAAUCAGGUAGGACUACCCGCUGAACUUAAGCAUAUCAAUAAGCGGAGGA